rnacentral:rRNA from 1 species
UGAGGAAUAUUGGUCAAUGGGCGCGAGCCUGAACCAGCCAAGUCGCGUGAGGGAAGACGGUCCUAUGGAUUGUAAACCUCUUUAGCCGGGGAGCAAGCCGGUGCACGCGUGCACCGGCGGAGAGUACCCGGAGAAUAAGCAUCGGCUAACUCCGUGCCAGCAGCCGCGGUAAUACGGAGGAUGCGAGCGUUAUCCGGAUUUAUUGGGUUUAAAGGGUGUGUAGGCGGGCUGUUAAGUCAGCGGUAAAAGUGUCGGGGCUCAACCCCGGCCGGCCGUUGAAACUGGCGGUCUUGAGUGAGCGAGAAGUAUGCGGAAUGCGUGGUGUAGCGGUGAAAUGCAUAGAUAUCACGCAGAACUCCGAUUGCGAAGGCAGCAUACCGGCGCUCAACUGACGCUGAGGCACGAAAGGCGUGGGGAUCAAACAGGAUUAGAUACC